CACUGUAGGAAACAUACCACAGCCCUGGGGCAGGAGUGACAAGGAAAUUCAUUCCAGUGACUUCCUCUGUUUACCUACCCAUUAAUCAAGUUCUUAUAAAGCCUAAACACACAUGCAUAGUCAAAGCAUUCAGCUUCUCUUCGAACCUGCUGAAAGAGUUUUCUUUCUUAGGAGUUCCCUGCCAGGAAAGAAGUGGCAAGUCUGGACCAAUACUAGCUAUUCUUUCAUUCAGAACAGUUCCUUCAUGUGAAUUAUAGUUCCUACUCCCUAGGUCUUUCUUGCCCCAUUAUAGUGAUACCUUCUACAUCACAAUUUUCCCCAUCAUGGUUUCAAUAUAUUGUGGUUUCUUUAUAUCAUGGAUUGGCAUAAGAAAUUAAAUGGGAAUUUUUUUUGGGGGGGUAAUUUUGCAGAAGCCACAAAUGGCUCAUCCAGCAGAGGACACAAAAAAAGUUUAGAAACUCAGAAAUGCAUAAGAUAUUGUCAUAGUAUAUAAAAUCAAUAUUUUAUCUUUUAAUACAUAAUAAUUCAGACUUCUUUUCUGGUGCAAAGGGAGGGCCAAAAAAUUUUACAUAGUUUUUCCAGAUCAAAGGGUUUCACACUUCUAUUCUUUGCAAUGAGUAAGUAAUAACUAUAUAAUCUUCACCCUGGAAGAUGAUCUUGGUUGUGGAACUAAGACAACCCUUUCCAAGAAAUGCUGAAAGGCCUUAUAGACGUUAAAUGAAUUUAGUAGGUCUGAUAGAGAUGCCCAAUGAUUCACUUAUCCUGGAACCUGUGGACCAACACCAAGCCUCUUAUUUUUCAGUGUUUUCUUACUACUGAUUCAACACACACUGAUUAAGCCUCUGUUACAAUGAGUUUUGUCUUCUCUAGGUUGGACUUGUGAUUUUACUGUAGUACAUAUACUAAAUCUAUGUCUUCCUGAUUCCAAGGCUGGCUUCUGUCUAGUAUUCCAUUCGUCUUCAUACUAAGCUCUUACUAAAAGAUUUUCAAAUUGUCUUUGUAGUUUCAAAAUUUCCAACAUGAAAAUAACCCUGCAGUCAAUAAGGCAUGGGGGUCAAAGAUAGAUGGCAACACAAAAAUUCUAGCACCAAUUAUGGGCAAUUGCCAAUUAACACAGAAGUUGAGUUCUUUCAGAAAAUAUUUUAUUAUAUAUAUAUAUAUAUAUAAUAUAUAUAUUUAUGUAUGUAUUUGCAGAUUAUGAUAACUUUCUUAGACCGGCCUUUAAAAUUCAUUUAAUGUCACUUAAGCAGCAAUCUGAUAACUUAUUGUCUAGUGUUAAAAAGUUAAUGUCUUUAUAAAAAAUAGAUUCAAAGCAAACAAACGUAAAGAAUAAAGUACAUUCAUGCUUACUGUUGGAAUAAUUUUAAAUUAUUAUUGUUAUUUGUACUUUGUUUUCGAAGAUGACCAUGACAUCAGGGAGGUGAUGCAAUGACAUGCAAGUGAAUUGGAUUUAAGUAAAGGAGAUCUGGGCAAGAUCACCUGCUUCCAGAACUAUCUGAGCCCAGUGACAACAUAUAGAUCAGGACAACUGGAGAUGGCCCCAAAUGAAAUGAGAGACUUUGGUCUUUUUAAGCUAAGAUCUUUAAUAGGUCUCAGUUUGACUGAAGCAACCACACAUUCAGUGAUUAAAACUAGGUAAGAAAUGAGGCAAAGAAUGGCAUUUUUUUUACCUAGUCAAACAAAUGAAUCUUGGAGGGAAAGGACCUUCAGGGUUUCUGGCCAAAACUUUAAAAUAGCACACUAGUGGAAUCACAUAUCUUGUCACUAUGACAUAUUUGUGAACUCUGAAAGAUUUUUUUUUUAUAUUUUAUUCUACUAAAGACUACCAUUUUGACAGACGUCAAUCAUCACAUUUUGAAGUUUGGAUGUUUACUGUUUUUGAUGUGUGGACAUCUGUGGAUUAGUUAUAAAAUAUUGGCAAUUUAAUGUAGUACAAGAAAUAUGUUGCUUUGGGGAAUAUUUUUUAAAUUUUGGCUAAUUCAAUUGAAUAUUUUCAAAAACAGCAAUAAAUCUUGAUUCAAUAUUGGUGAGAGAAGUCUAUUUAACCCACAAAAUACCUCACAGUUUCUGUAGUGAUAGUUUUGCUCUUCCUCUUUUCUUUUUCCUUCCUCUUUUUCUUUUUUGUUGUUUGCUUGCAUUGUGUUUUCUUUCUCUCAUUUUCCCCCUUUUAUUGUGCAGCAUAAUAUUUGUGGAAAUAUGUAUAGAAGAAUUGCACAUGUUUAACAAAUAUUGGAUUGCUUGCCAUCUAGGGGAGGGGAUGAGGGGAAGAGAGGGGAAAAAUUUUGAACGCAAGAUUUUGUAAGGGUGAAUGUUGAAAAUUAUCCACAUAAAAAUUUUUAAUUAAAAAAAUAUGUUUAACAUAAAAAAGAAAAAAAGUAGAGAAAAAAACAAUAUUAUAAUUCCAGUACAUUUUAGAUGUAUAUCUACAAAUAAGACACCAAAUAGUCUCUCUGUAAAGAUUUACUGAGGAAGGCUUUCUAAAAAAAAGAUACCUGCAAAAUCAAUCACUCACCAGGUACUCUUAAUUAUGAAACAAAAGACAUUGGUCUUUCCUAGACCUUUUCUGACUUAUUACUAUCGAGACGCAGAUUCUGAUUCCAAGUCUGGGGUCUUCAGUCUUACGAUUCAGAGGCCCCCCCAAAACAGGCUGUUAGAAAGGACCUACCCCACAGCUGAAACAAAAAAGACCUCUCCAAAUUCCUAGCCUAAUCCUUAACAGGAAUGGAUAUGUGAGUUCUUCUAAAUCGCCUCUCAGAAUGUAACCUAAUUUAAAACGGAGAACUUUAUGUUCUGUGGACUGUAGGUGCAACGUUCACCUGCUUUUUCCAUUGGCGGUAGAAACUUCUUUGUAGUUUUGAAAUCUGAGAAGCAAGCUGCUUUUGAUUUACAAGGAAGAAUCUUUCCUCUCGCUUUAUAGUCCUCCUGAUGAAAGUUGACAGGGUAAAUUCUCCCAGUGCAGCUUGGAGCAGGCUGACAGAAUGGACGCUCCAUUUCAUCAGGAAUCCAGAAUCCUUCCUCUGUAAAACAGUAGGGGGUCUUCCUCACUCCUGCAGGGGCCUGGAGCAUCUACUAAAACAGAUGUCUGAGUUUAAAAAAAGCCUCCACACCUGCCAAACCACCAGUCAGCAGCUUCCUUCCUCCUUUCUUUCAGUCUCAGAGUAAGCCGAGCGUUUGAGAAACAGGGAGUGGACUCUAUGGUUUUCACUGUUCCCUGAAGACACACUAUCUAAUCUCUUCAGAGGAGAAAAUCAGACCCUAGUUCUUCAGACAGGAGAAAAGGAGUGAGCUACAGAGCAAAAUAUGAGACCUCGAACGGCUUGGUUCCUUAACACAAACAGCUUAGAGAUAGGGGCUCAGCUGAAUGCAACUGAAAGUCCACCAAUUAGUAACAAUAGCUAGGAGCUCUAUAAGCCACUGAGAUUUGCAAGCAUGUUUUCUGUAGAGGCAGAAUAUCAUUUGAUCCUCCCAGCAAACCUGGAGGUAGGUACUAAUAUAAUCCCCAUUUUACAGAUGAGAAAAUUAGACAGAACAGAGUGACCUGCAUAGAAUCACAUAUAACUAAUAAGCUUCUGAGACAAGUUUGAAAUGAGGCCUUCUGGAGCUCAGGAUCAGUGCUCCAUUUCACAUACAGCUAGGAAGCUUCUGAGACAUAUUUGAAAUGAGACCUUCUGGGUCUUGGGUUCAGUGCUCCCUCCACUGUUCACAUACAGCUAAUAAGCUUCUGAGACAUGUUUGAAAUGAGGCCUUUUGGAGCUUAGAUUCAGUGCUCCCUCCACUGUUCACAUACAGCUAAGAAGCUUCUGAAGCAUGUUUCAAAUUAGGCUUUCUGGAGCUUAAGUUCAGUGCUCCCUCCGCUUUUCACAUACAGCUGAGCUUCUGAGACAUGUUUGAAAUGAGGCCUUCUGGACCUUGGAUUCAGUGCUCCCUCCACUGUUCACAUACAGCUAAUGAGCUUCUGAGAUAUGUUUGAAAUGAGGCCUUCUAGACGUUGGGUUCAGUGCUCCAUUUCACAUACAGCUAAUAAGCAUCUGAGACAAGUUUGAAAUGAGGCCUUCUGGGCCGUAGGUUCAGUGCUCCAUUUCACAUACAGCUAGGAAGCUUCUGAGACAUGUUUGAAAUAAGGCUGUCUGGAGCUCAGAUUCAGUGCUCCCUCUGCUGUUCACAUACAGCUAAGAAGCUUCUGAAGUAUGUUUCAAAUUAGGCUUUCUGGAACUUAGGUUCAGUGCUCCAUCCAUUGUUCACAUACAGCUGAGCUUCUCAGAUAUAUCUGAAAUGAGGCUUUCUGGAGCUGAGAUUCAGUGCUCCCUCCGCUGUUCACAUGCAGCUAAUGAGCUUCUGAGAUAUGUUUGAAAUGAGGCCUUCGGGGCCUUAGGUGCUCCAUUUCACAUACAGCUGAGCUUCUGAGACAUGUUUGAAAUGAGGCCUUUUGGGCCUUGGGUUCAGUGCUCCCUCCGCUGUUCACAUACAGCUAAUGAGCUUCUGAGAUAUGUUUGAAAUGAGGCUUUCUGGAGCUCAGAUUCAGUGCUCCCUCCGCUGUUCACAUACAGCUAGUAAGCUUCUGAGACAUGUUUGAAAUGAGG
rnacentral:lncRNA from 1 species